rnacentral:rRNA from 1 species
UACGUAGGGUGCGAGCGUUAAUCGGAAUUACUGGGCGUAAAGCGUGCGCAGGCGGUUUUGUAAGUCAGAUGUGAAAUCACCGGGCUUAACCUGGGAACUGCGUUUGAAACUACAAGGCUAGAGUGUGGCAGAGGGGGGUGGAAUUCCACGUGUAGCAGUGAAAUGCGUAGAGAUGUGGAGGAACACCGAUGGCGAAGGCAGCCCCCUGGGUCAAAACUGACGCUCAUGCACGAAAGCGUGGGGAGCAAACAGG